GCAGAAAUAAAUUAUCCUCGUCGGCAAAUCAGUCCUGUCUCCAUGCUGGAGAAGGAUCUGUGGCUAGCCUGAGCCAAGCUCCUGGACAGGGAUCACAGCAGCAGGUGUCUGCAGCGGUAGAGGAGUCUGUUGUACUGGAUGUCAAAGUGAAAGAGGAGGAGGAGGAUCCUGCUUUCGCAGAGAGACCUGACCACUGCUCUGAGAGUGAAGCGAGUCCCUCUACAACAGGACUACCUGAACAACACCAGGGGAAUCACACAGCUAAGAAGAUUCACUGCUGUUCAGUGUGUGGAAAAAACUGUCACAAGUUAUCAAAACUACAAAUACACAUGAGAACUCACACAGGAGAAAACCUUACUCCUGCUCUGUCUGUGGGAAGCAAUUCAGUGACAAAGGAAACCUGAAAAAACACCAGACGGUGCACACAGGAGAGAAGCAGUACAGUUGUUCCGUGUGUGGGGGAGUUUCUCUUCAUUGUCAAAUCUUACCAAACACCAGAUAACACACACAGGAGAGAGUCAAGUGUCUGUAGAAGAGUGUGGUUUUACACCACCAUUGGUUAUCAUAGUGAAAGAGGAGGACGAGGAUCCUGCUUUUGCAGAGAGACAUGACCACUGCUCUGAGAGUGAAGGGAGUCCCUCUACAUCAGGACUACCUGAACAACACCAGGG